rnacentral:rRNA from 1 species
UCAGCGACUUAUAUUCUGUAGCAAGGUUAACCGUAUAGGGGAGCCGAAGGGAAACCGAGUCUUAACUGGGCGUUAAGUUGCAGGGUAUAGACCCGAAACCCGGUGAUCUAGCCAUGGGCAGGUUGAAGGUUGGGUAACACUAACUGGAGGACCGAACCGACUAAUGUUGAAAAAUUAGCGGAUGACCUGUGGCUGGGGGUGAAAGGCCAAUCAAACCGGGAGAUAGCUGGUUCUCCC